UCGUGCCAGUUUGAUCGGGAUACUCAUCAAUAAAAAAAUCGAAACCGAGAAAGUUUCUUUUGCCAAUGGCGGGCCAUAUAAACCCCUUAAUGGGACUAAGCUGUAAAGCCGGUGGAUUACAAAGGCGGAGAGCUCUCAAAUCUUGUAUACUCGGAGUUUCAUCACAUCACUGGGCGACCUGUU
rnacentral:sRNA from 1 species